rnacentral:tRNA from 1 species
GUCCAGGGUAGCCUAGUGGUCAUGGCAUCUGCCCGGUAAGCGGAAGGUCGUGGGUUCGAUUCCCAUCCCUUUGACA